AUUGAACGCUCGCGGGAUGCUUUACACAUGCAAGUCGAACGAGUGGCGGACGGGUGAGUAAUAUAUCGGAACGUGCCCAGUAGCGGGGGAUAACUACUCGAAAGAGUAGCUAAUACCGCAUACUAUUGGAGCUGCCCAUAUCGGAUUAGCUAGUUGGUGGGGUAAAGGCUCACCAAGGCAACGAUCCGUAGCUGGUUGGAGAGGAAGACCAGCCACACUGGGACUGAGACACGGCCCAGACGCCUACGGGAGGCAGCAGUGGGGAAUUUUGUACAAUGGGGGAAACCCUGAUGCAGCCAUCCCGCGUGUAUGAGAAGGCCUUCGGGUUGUAAAGUACUUUUGGCAGAGAAGCUUUAUCGUCCGAAUAAGCACCGGCUAACUACGUGCCAGCAACCGCGGUAAUUC
rnacentral:rRNA from 1 species